UACUGCCACCGCGCUAUCUACGCCCCCACGCUCUCCCCGCGCGAUGACUCCGCCGCCGCGCCUCCUCGCGCUGCUCAGAUGCGCGCUGCGCCUCCCGACGCUUCCUCGCUCCAGGCCGCCGUCGUCAUCGCACGGUCCCGACCCCUCCAGUAUCCCCCCCAUCCCGCCUCCUCCUCCACCGCGUCGCCGAUGGCUCCAUGUCGUCGUCGUCGUCGCGCGGUCCCGGCUGGCUGUCCACCGCGCCAUCACAGAUCCAGCCAUCCCUCAUACCGGACUCCCCCAUCCUGACGGCCCCAUCCCAGCGGCGAGGAGGCGUCGUCGCGCGGGAGAUGACUGGUGGGGAGAGUGAAGAGGGAGAGGCGGAUGGCAACCCUCCCUCUGUCACGCUCGCUCUCCAAUCCCCCUUCACAGUCGAGCCCUGCGUCGUCGCCUUCCCCCGCCGAUGCCACCACAUCAAGGCACCUCACGCAUGGAGCUCUUUCCCCGAAGCCGGACGUAAUGGCCGGUCCCUCGCUAAGGCGCCCAGCAGAUCCGGCCAGUUGCCUCAGCAACAGAGAGUCCACGGACUUCUCCACUGCUCUGUAAGAGGAUCUGGACUCUUCUGCCAACGAGGCCACUGUCUGAUCCACCAUCGUAGGGGAUUCUUUCCGUUCCCUAAAUGCACCACAUAUCUUCCCCUCCGGAAUUUUUUUUUUCGAAUGAAAUUGAUAGAAUACCAAUGGCUGUUGCAACAAGACGUGAGGACUGGCAAGCCAUCUCUUGAUAUGUUUCUUGCUGAGAUGAGGAGGUUCGAGGUAUUGCCAUCAGCAGUUAAAAAUUGCUGGAAUGUGACUUCGCUCCUCCUCGCUCGCUCGCUCCUCCUCGCUCCUGUGUACUGCCACCGCGCCGCCGCAUCCUCGCCGGAGCCACUAUCUUCUCCAUCCGCCGCCGGAGCCGAGGUCCAUCUUACAGUUUAAUUCCUCACUGAAUGUUGACUAUCCCUGCCAAUCAAUCACACGAUUCCCUCUGAAUGCUAAUCCAUUCAAUUAAUUUCCUGGACUGGUAAUAUCUCUCCCAUAGUGGGGAAUCAUGUGUCUUUUGUACAAAUUACACAGGUUAUUAAACUGGAUUCUCCAUUUCACUUUAGAAGUUGAUUUUCUUGCUUUCUUGGCUAUAUUUCCUGUCAUCACAUCUUACAUUUACAAGUAGGAAUGAAAUGAUGGCCGACUACCUUCUUGAUCACUGCGAUGUGCCCCUUCGCUUCAAGGAUAUGCAUAAAUCCAAGGUUGACAUUGUGGCCAACUGGAGAUUUUGGUAAAAUCCUAUCAUGUUUCACCAUGGCAUUUCACUGUUUGGCGCACGGUAUUUAGGAGCUAUUUGUAUAGUAAAUGCUGGAAUAUUGAAGUAAAUUAUAUGUUCAGCUUAUUAACUGCAUUGCGAUAAGCUUUGAUCUAGAUCCGGUUUCAAUUUUCAUUUGUGUGGUCGCAUCCUUUAAUUUAUAUAGCUUCAUAAGAGUAUACUCCGAAGUACAUGCCGUUUUAUGUAUUUUUAUGCCUUCAUAUUCUGAUUGUCUAAUGGCUCUAAAACAACAGACGUAAACUACGAUGUCUGAAGUUUUCCAUGUUUUCUUCCUUAUGAAAAUGAUAUGGAGCUGUGGCAAGCUGCUUUGGCAAUCCCUGUUGCUGUCCAGAGUAAAGAUUUUCAUGUGGCUUGCGCUAAAGGGCAGAUGCCUCAUGGCUGACAAUCUACAGAAAAGAGGAUUUGGAGAUUGCUCAGGAGCUAGGUGAAUGUUGGCUUUCCGCUUCCCAGUGACCUCAAUGUAGACUUGGCUGAUUGGCGGAUGGCUUCAAGGAGAAGCUUCAGAGAUUAUCUCAGAAAAGUUUUCGGUACACUCUUCUUCAGAGAUUGUCUCAGCAAGUUGUAUGGUUGUGCAGCUCUUUGGUGACAUCAAAGAAAUCACAAUCUGGAGGGAGGCAGGCUUCAUGGUAGGCGAAAAACGAUUGGCAUUAUUCCUUUUGCAGUUUUUUCUCUCCCACUCUUUGUAACCGGUUUCGACAACUUCGUGUGGACGCUUAGUUUGUAACACCAUCUCAUAAUCUUAAUGAAUUUGCUUAGCCUACUCUUGGGCCAGUCUGGCUAAAAUAAAUGUAAUCAGAGUUAUACUUCAUUUGUUGGAAACAUAACUUGUAAAAUAAAACUAAUCAUUUUUAUCCUUA